rnacentral:lncRNA from 1 species
CCACACCACCUAACCCUAGCCGCCCCCACCAUCUCCUCCUCCCAAGGUGCCAUUCCCUGCCGCUCGGAUCUACGUCGCGUGGUGCAAAUCUCCAAUUGUUUUCGGUGGAGGGAAGAAGGGAGGAAGGAAAGGGGGAGAAUCCAAGGUGAUUUUUGUGUUUAUCUCUUGUUCAUUUGUGCUGCAAUCCAAUUGAUUAGAUGUUGAGUAUGCGAUUUGGUAGAAGGGCUGUCCAGAAUUUUAGGGGGUGGACGAACAGCAGCAGUAUUAGUGGUUUCGGGUAAUUUUUCGUGGGAAAUUAAUGGGAAUCAGUUUGGGAAUCAUGUAGAACUUUGGCAUACCUUUCCAACGAGUAUUUAUGCGCUCAAUUUAGAGUUAUAAAUUAAAAGAUAUCACCGUUUGAAUCCGGGUAUGUGGUUGUCCAGAAAAAUAGAUUUUCAGGUGGACGAACAGCAGCAGUAUUAGCAGUUUCUGGGGAUUUUUCGUGAGUAAUUAGUGUUAAUCAGUAUGAGAAUCAUGUAGGGCUUUUUCUUACCUUUCCAACAAGUACUUAUGCGCUCGAUUCGGAAUUAUAUUUUAAAAGUUAUCGCUGUUUGAAUCCGAGUAUGUCGCUGCCCAAAAGAGAAAAAAACAGAUUGCAGGGUUUAUCUUGUGGACCGUUUUGGGGUAGUUAGACGUUGGAAUUUAAUCAUAAAUUGUAUACAAAACUUAUGGGGAAUUUUAUGUAGUUGUCUCUGGAGUUUUUGUUUGUCAUCACUGCUUUCUUAAUUUUAAAGUUAGGGAAUUGUUAAGCAGCGCCGCUGCAGUUUGGUGGGUGUGGGGAGAAUUGUUACCCGCGGCGGGGUUUGAGACUGCGCGUAGGUGCGGCGUUGUUUUUUAGGCUUAUUAUGUGAAUUUGAUGCACUAAGUUGGGUGUCAAAAAUAGGUGGUGGACUUCCGGAUCGUACCUAGGGAUUUGCCCAAACUUCCGGUGAAGGCAAGUAAAACAGUGAUGGUUAUUCCGUCUGUCGAAUGAAGAGUCUUAUACUUGAUUAUGUUGUGCUAUUGUGUUCGUAUUCAUAUUUUUAAUUGAGUACCAUCAUUUGAAGAUAUUCGUGUAGUAUAUGUCUAGCACAUUUUAUUUGGGAAGAACUCAUGUUGUUGUCAUGCAUAAUGCAUUCAUUAUUCAUUGCAUGGAAGUUCGUCGUGAUCUUAUGGUCCGACCGUACCGGUACAUUGAGCAUCAUAUGUUGCCCGAGAAGGGGUAUGAUGCAGCUUCAUAUCCUCAGAGAUAUGAAGGCAGAAGUCAUUACUGCAUCUGUAGCCAUGUGCAUUCAUAGGAGAGGUGUGGAAUUUAUUAUGUGGAUGUGGAUAGUGUGGAUUUUUACAUUGUAAUUCUUCUUGGCGUUAAGUAAUUAGUUACUUGCUUACUUGCUGCAAAUUAUUAUUCAAGAAGGAAGUUUUGAACUACGUGGUUGUUUAAGCACAAUUGGUUUACAUUGUCCAAUUGUGGUUUGCUCUGUUUACUUGCUGAGAUGUGUCAUCUCACUCUUGCAUUGUUUAAUGCAGGCACCUGAUUUCUGCUUUGGGAAAAGAGGGAUGUAGCAGCACGGCCACUACACCUUUAAUAAAGGAACCACUGCUUAAUAAUGUUGUUAAUCAGGGAGGGUCAAGUCUAG